rnacentral:lncRNA from 1 species
AUAGACUUAUCAGAAUGGUGACCUCUAGAUAUGACUCCUGGGAUGAACACGGCCUAUAAAUACAACUGUCCUAGAGCAGGUAGGAAUGCAUCAGCAAGUUCAGUGUGAAACUACAGGACAGAUACGGACACCUUACAGACAAUCUCGGAGAUCAUCCCAGAAGAAAUAUCAUGAAGUAUCAAAUUCUGUGUGUGCUAAUUCUUCUCUCAGCGUUCUCCAGUAAAGGCCACUGUGCUUCCCUGAAUGGGGUAUGUAUGUUAUAUACAGGUUUAUAGGUUUUUUUUCAGAAUUGAAUUUUAUUUACAUAUAUUAUAAUCAUUGUACGUAUGUUUUAUGUUUUAUAUAUUGUUUAUUUUUGUGCUAUCUCUAGGGCUGCCUAAACUCAAAGUAAUAGACAGGUUUUUGGACAAUGUAUGUUUAAAAUAAUCUAAAGUUUACAGUUCUCUUUAAAGAAAUUAUUUUUCUUUGCACUUAUACACAGGAAUUCAGGCAAUGCACUUACUGUUUUACCUAUAUGCAUUUUAAUCAAUACAUUCUUUUAUAUUUUAAAAUAGAAUCAAAUAAUGAAUUCUCCUGACCACAUCACCGAACCACAGAUGGAGGAAUCAAAUAUCAUGGUGAGCUUAAAAAAUAUGCUGUCUGUUGUGAUUUACUCUAAAGACAACGUUUUAUUUGCAGGGUUAUGAAAGACUAGUGGUAUAGUAUGUUUGAUGUUGAAGAUUCAUCAUUAGUAUUAUAUUUCCCAACCACCACUCAUCAUAAAAUAUCCCAUCAAAACAAAAUAUCAAAGGCGUGAUUCUUGUUUCUUAUUUAACGAUUGGGUUCUCAAGGUACCUCUCUGUAGGUGCAAAUGGGCAAAAUGAGGGCAAUUCUAGAGCAAAUUACUAAAGCUGGAGCAAUCUCCGUGGAAACCAUUGAGAUGUACGUCCUGAUUAGUUUUAGCACAUUCUUAAAACUGUUUUAGUUUUUGUCAUGACAAACAAUGCUUUAAGGUUUAGGUGUUGUUCAAUUUAUAACUUGUUGCAUGUUGAUUAAAAAAAACUACCCACAUUGCCGAGAUGCUGAGAUAUGUUGAGAAUUUCCGCAGUGUUCUAGAAAUGUUACCGUAUGCUUGUCUUUUUUACACUUUGCAAACUUUUUGUAAGAUUAGCGCAACUCACUACGUAGGGAGAAACCCUAUGGCAGGGGUUCCCAAAAGGUAAAUCCCCAGAUGUUUUAAAACGUUGUCAUUCUAAAAGCAUUCUAAAGGCAUACAAGGUAUCAUGGGGUUGUAGUUCUACAAUAUCUGGGGGAUCUACCUUUUGUGCAGCCCUGCUCUAUAUUUUUAUUCUAACAAACCCACCAUUUGACAAUUUGUUAGUGACUCUGCGAGUUGCUACAGUUAUAUAAUUAGAAUGUCACCAUUUGAAUGCUUGUCAAUUUCUAUUUAAUAAAAACAAAACAUUAAACUACGUCCUAUUUCUUUUGUUUAACUAGGGCUCCUUACUCAGGACAAAGCGUCAAUCUCAUCUUUCCAUCUGCACCUAUUGCUGUAACUGCUGCAAAAGAGGCAGAAACGGCAAAAGCAAAGGCUGUGGCAUGUGCUGUCUGACCUAAAACUAUUGUCUACAACCCGAAUUUCUUGGAAUUCCCAAAACGAACUCUCUAAAACCAGGAACACAAAUAGAAGCACUGAUCCUAAUGUUUUAUCCAUUGAUCAAUCUAUGCAAUAAUCAAUCCCAGCAUGCAAGGGGUUAAGAGAUAGGUGAACUUUUUAGAAGACAACUUUGAACCAUCUCGGAAGCUGAGAUAAACUCUGUUAUUAUUUUUAGAUCCUAAUUCCGUCGGUAUUGCCUUAUUUAUCUUUUUACAAAAUAAGUUUUCUUUUAUAUCAUAGUGUGUGUGUAAUGUGUUUUACUUUGUACAUGCUAAUAUGUAUUUUAUUCUCCUAUAUUUAAAUACAUGUAAUAUUUAUUCAUUAUACACUAGCUAAUCUCACGUUAUACUACAUCUACGUGAAUGAAGUCUAAGAUAUUUGAAUCAGAAAUAUUUUGUUUUAUUUGAUGUGGACCAGAGAUGUUUUGUCUUGAAAGCUGUAUUCCCUA